AUUGAACGCUGGCGGCAGGCCUAACACAUGCAAGUCGAGCGGUAACAUUUCUAGCUUGCUAGAAGAUGACGAGCGGCGGGACGGGUGAGUAAUGCUUGGAAAUCUGCCUGGUAGGUGGGGGACACAGUUAGGAAACGACUGCUAAUACCGCAUAACCUACUUCGGAGGCCAAAGUGGGGGACCCUCGGGCCUCACGCUACCAGAUGAGUCCAAGUGGGAUUAGCUA
rnacentral:rRNA from 1 species